UGAUCGUCGGGUGAUGGAUCUCCGCCCGGAGGGUUUCCUCCGAACCGCCGAUGUCGGCUGAUGGCUCCUGUUCCGAU
rnacentral:ncRNA from 2 species